UGGGGAAUUUUGGACAAUGGGCGAAAGCCUGAUCCAGCAAUGCCGCGUGUGUGAAGAAGGCCUUCGGGUUGUAAAGCACUUUUGUCCGGAAAGAAAUCCUUGGCUCUAAUACAGUCGGGGGAUGACGGUACCGGAAGAAUAAGCACCGGCUAACUACGUGCCAGCAGCCGCGGUAAUACGUAGGGUGCAAGCGUUAAUCGGAAUUACUGGGCGUAAAGCGUGCGCAGGCGGUUUGCUAAGACCGAUGUGAAAUCCCCGGGCUCAACCUGGGAACUGCAUUGGUGACUGGCAGGCUAGAGUAUGGCAGAGGGGGGUAGAAUUCCACGUGUAGCAGUGAAAUGCGUAGAGAUGUGGAGGAAUACCGAUGGCGAAGGCAGCCCCCUGGGCCAAUACUGACGCUCAUGCACGAAAGCGUGGGGAGCAAAACAGGAUUAGAUACCCUGGUAGUCCACGCCCUAAACGAUGUCAACUAGUUGUUGGGGAUUCAUUUCCUUAGUAACGUAGCUAACGCGUGAAGUUGACCGCCUGGGGAGUACGGUCGCAAGAUUAAAACUUAAAGGAAUUGACGGGGUCAUAGCUGUUU
rnacentral:rRNA from 1 species